AUUGAACGCUGGCGGCAGGCCUAACACAUGCAAGUCGAGCGAGCGGCGGACGGGUGAGUAAUGUAUGGGAAAAUGCCUGCUGGAGGGGGAUAACUACUGGAAACGGUAGCUAAUACCGCAUAACAUCAGAUGUGACCAGAUGGGAGUAGCUAGUAGGUGGGGUAACGGCGCACCUAGGCGACGAUCCCGAGCUGGUCUGAGAGGAUGACCAGCCACACUGGAACUGAGAAACGUUCCAGACUCCUACGGGAGGCAGCAUUGGGGAAUAUUGCACAAUGGGCGCAAGCCUGAUGCAGCCAUGCCGCGUGUGUGCAGAAGGCCUUCGGGUUGUAAAGCACUUUCAGCGGGGAGGCGUUACCCGCAGAAGAAGCACCGGCUAACUCCGUGCCAGCCGCCGCGGUAAUAC
rnacentral:rRNA from 1 species